rnacentral:lncRNA from 1 species
ACUUUAGUACUCAGGGCAGUAGUUGUUGGGAUGUAAAAUCUAUUGUCUAUCUGCCUAAAUAUAUGACAAAAGGCAGAAGUACAUAUUGGAGAUACUCUCACAUGCAUAUUCAUUCGUUUGAAACACGAUAUCUAGUUAUUUGUCUUUGAACUGAGUUGGAUUUUUCCAUGCUUAUGAAGGAACACAUGCCCUAUGCCCUAUUUUCGUUUAAGGACCGCCAAGGAAAUUCUGAAACUGAAAGCUGAUUGAUCGGAUGUAUAUGUCGGCUUUCAUCAACUACUUUCGAAGGCCUUACUAGGAAUUGAAAUGGUGUGCAAAGAGAUUGCUUCUUCUGAUCUGAUUUUUCGAUAUAAACACUGGACAAAGUAUGAAUAUUUUACUGCUGUUAGUAAAAUAGGAUUCUCUUCUUAGGAUCUUAGUUUGUUCACUUGUAUUAGACUCAACAAUGGCUUGCAUUGCAUUGGUGUUGAUUUUACUUAAAUUUCGAGGUUUACAAUUUUUAAUUUUUAUUAAUUAUUUAUGUUUUCUCACUUUUAUUAAUUUUUAUUAUUAUUUAAGCUUCCUUUAUUUGCCUUCUUUUAUCAUUUUCAUAGAAAAUUUAAUUUAAAUAAUAUUUUUUUAUUUAUCCUUAAAAUUAUAUGUAAAGUUCAAAUUUUAAAAAUAAAACAUAAUAUAAUAUUUAUCAUAAAAAUAAAUAUUAUUUGAUUAAAAUAAUUUUUUUGCAUGAUGUUUUUAGCGGCGUUUUUGCAAGAAGCGUCGCUAAAGGUUUGUUCUUUAGCGGCGUUUGUGAUAAAAGCACCGCUAAAGGUUGUAGUCUUUAGCAGCAUUUGUGGGAAAAGCGUCGCUAAAGGUUAUGGUCUAUAGCGGCAUUUGUGGGAAAAGCGCUGCUAAAGGUCAUGGUCUUUAGCGGCGUUUGUGGAAAAAGUGCCGCUAAAGGUCGUGGUCUAUAGCGGCGUUUAUUUCUAAAAGUGCCACAAAAGUUAGCGAUGCGUUCAUUAGCGGUGUUUUUUGCGGCGCUUUCCCACAAACGCCGCUAAAGGCCUAGAAAAGCGCUGCUAAAAGCCUGUUUUGGUGUAGUGAAAUAACUAAUUUCAGAUAAAUAAUUACUUAUAAAAUAAAUUAGUUUAAUAAUUGAAUCAUGCGAUAUAUAAAAUAAGCAGAAGAAAUUAUUCAUUUUUCAUACAAAUGCAAAUUGAUCAGAGAAAUGAAAGUAUAAAUAAAAGAAUAAGAUCUAGGAGAAAGCUCAUGAAUAUAUAUUGAAGCACGAUUGUAACGAUUCGAUAGUCAAGGGUGUCGAAAAGUUCAUUCUUGGGACUCUAUUCUUGUAAAUCGGACUCGUAAAUAUUUAUAAUAAAUAUUUACGAAGUUAGUUGUAUAGUUAGUUAGGUUUCGGUUAAGUGAAUUUGCAUGAAUUAAAAGUUAUUAAGUAUAAUGACUAAAUAGCGUAUAGGGUAAAAGUUGAAUUAUAAAUUGAAAUAAAUUAAAGGGGUUAAAAUAGAAAUUAAAUCAUUUAAUAAAUGGUUGUGUAUAUGUGUCCGAAUGUGGCUAAGUAAAAAUGCAUGUAUAUAUUAUAUAUCAUAUAUAUGUAUUAACAUUAAUGUAUAUAUAUUUAUUAUAAUAAUAAUUAAAAUUAAAGUUAUAAUAAAAGUAAGUAAUGUAAAAUAUAGUGUGAAAAUUGAAGAAUAAGUAAAAUAUAGUGUGAAAAUUGAAAUGUAAUGUAAAAUUGUAAUGUGUAAUAUUAAUGUGAUUUAAUUGUUUUAUUCCGUAGCUAACGUCGUACCGGAGUCCUCGAGUAAAAAGGGGAAAGAUGAAAUCAACGUCAAAUAGCUCGAAAAUCACGGUUAGUGUUUCUAUAAUUCGAACUAAAUAGUAGUUUAUUGCAUAUAUAUUUAUUUGCAUAUGGUAAGCAAUUAAGGUGAGUACUUUGGUACUUAGGAAUUGAAUUAAAUUCAUAAUUGAAAUGAAAUGGAUUGAUUUUGUAUAUUAAAAAAUAUAUUGAUUACGAAUGUAUGUAUAUUGAGAAAAAUAUGAUGAUUAUCAAAUUGAAUUUAUGCUUAUAUGUGAUGAUAUAUAUAUUCAUGAAACUGAGACAUUGGUUGUAUUGAAAAGUGAAACGAAUCCCCAUUAACUGUAUCAGGCUGAGUCGGAUAUAGAUGACAUGUCAUAGGAUAGGAAAAGUUCAGGGAUUACUUCGACCUCAAUUCGAUGAGGCACAGGGUGCCAAUUUGGUUCAGUUUAACUGAUGAGACACUGGGUGUCAAUUUAUAUAGCGCUCGGCGCAGUUAGUACUUUGGAUUUAUCCGAUGAGGCAUUGGGUGCCAAACUAGUGUGUUGGUUAGAUCCAUGUAGCCGUCCGAGUCUGUGUCGUGUUAAUAGGGGAAAGUAAAAUAAUAAUUUAUGAGAUGAGAAAAUAUUGAAAUGGAAAAUAUGGGAAAUGAUUAUGAUAUGAGAAAUGAAAUAUGAAAUGAUGAAUCAAGAUGUGAAACUUGAAUGAAAUCAAGUAUUGAUCAAAGGUAUGAAUCAUGCCAUUGCAUGAGAUGAUGUGUUCAAAUGUUAAAUGAAAUGCCAUUGAUAUAUAUACUUAAAUAUUUGAACAUGUGAAAAUCUUAGUAGAUGUGAAUAAGGAUUGAGCAAAAAUUAUACUAUUAAAUUGAAACACAUGAACAUAGCUUACUUGUUGCAUUUUGCAUUUUAAAUAUUUAUAUCAAGUUUAUGUUAUUCGGAUUAUAGAAAUACCACUGAGUUUUACUCAAUGUGUGGUUUUGUUUUCCGUGCUCAGGCUAGGUACUGUUCGAAUUAUUACCGACUCAGCAUCAAAUCACAAAUCCCGAGCUCAAGUGUGGUGAUAUUUCAUUUUGUAAUGGCAUGUACCUAGGGAGUCUUUUGUUGAUAUCGUUUAUAAAAUGUUGUUGACUUAGUUGUUAGUGAAAUGAUGGUUAAAUGUGUAUAUGGUUGAGGUUGAGACUAUGUUGGUAUGCUAGUCUAGUUUAUAUUUUGGUAUAUGAUAAUUUAAGUUUGGUAGCUUAGCAUAAAGUUUGGUAUGUGCUUAGCUUCAUAUUUGGCAACUUUAGAAGUUUGGAAGUUAGUUCAAAUAUGGAAAGUGUGAUAUGAAUGAAAGACUUGAAUGUUUGAUGUGUUGUUUGUGUAUUUGAACAUAUAAAAUGUGGUACCAAUGAGGGUACAUUGGUUAGGCAUAUUAGGUGAUGAAUUUGGUGUAUUUUGGGUAUGUUUAAUCAUGUUUACAAUAGGUUAAAUGAUUAGAAAUUGAGUUGUUUAGUGUCCAAGUAAAUAGGAAAUGGUAAACUUGUGAUUUAAGGCACAUUUUAGGUCCACACGCCCAGACACACGGGUGUGUGACUUGGCCAUGUGAAACACACGGCUAGCACACGGGUGUGCGAGGCCAUUUCAAAAAGGUACACGGUUUGGCACACGGACGUGUGGCUUGACCGUGUGACCCAAGUCAGUGAGUUACACGGGCACGGACACAGGCUGGGACACAACCAUGUGUCCCUACUUCGAAUGCCUACACGGCCUGGCCAUACGAGCGUGUGACCCCUGCAGUUAAAAUUUUUGUAAUUAUUUCCUAAACUUAUAGAAUUGUUUCAAAUUAGUCCCUGCCUAUUUUUGAACUAUUUUUAGGGUCUCGUAGACUCGUAAUAGGGGUUAUAAGAUUAACUUUUACUUGGAAUUGGGGUGGUUUAGCAAACCUAAAUUAAGUGCAUUCCACUAACAUCAUCGAAGAUAGAUUAAAAAAAUAAUCGUAGACUGAGUAUGGACUAAUACCCUGAUGCUAAUAAUUAGAAUAUUCUUAUAUGUAUCCGAAUUCAGACAUUCUAGAAGGGAUAAAUAGUGAUAAGAUUGUAGACAGUGGAAGACCAAGUUUAGAAAUGCAUAGCAUAAUUUAUUAUUCAAAUGUAAAAGAAUCUAGCAUGAAAGUAUCAGAUUAUCGUGAUCUACCCCUGCAUAUUAUAAUGUUAUUCGUUAGUUUAUAUGUUGAUUAUGAUUGAAUUAAUUGUUUGAUUAGUUAGUAAUGCUUGUGACCCUAAUCCGACAACGGAGAUGGGUUAGGGGUGUUACAACGAUGUAGGAGCAAUCUCUGCUUGCGAUUGUCUUCACAUCGAAAUAAAAAAGUUUCGACUGCACGAACCAUGAAAAGAAAGUUGAAAACUGAAUAGAAAAAUUAUUUGUCUAAAACUGCUUACAAUUCUGGUGACCCUAAGGUUGCUUAUAUAGGCAAUGACAUACUUGGCGACCACUCAGUCUCGAGAUACACUUAGAUACUAGUGAAUAAAAUAUUAUGCUAAAAUCUAGGGUCCAAUUAUAGGAAUUUCCCAAAUAUAUCAUCCAAGGAAAUCAACUCUUUUCUUCCACGUCAAGUCGCGUUGUCGAGAUGUGGGAAUGCUUCUCGUCCCGACAUCGCCAUCAUGCAAUGUCUUCCCAUUUUUGUCGCGUCGUUGGGAUGAGAGGUAGUUCCUCGUCACGACGUUGGUUGUGUUCCAGGCCUUUGGCAGUGUCGUUAGCUUAUUGGGCUCAUUGUCUCACAACUCAAUCAUUAUUCCUUGUAUUCUUGGACUUCAAAUGGUAUCCUACACACAUAAUUAGCUCAUUAGUCACUCACGAGGCCCGAGUUGGCCUUACAAGUCAUUGAAAUAGCUGAAACUGUGUAAAAACAUCUAUUUUUAUUAAUAUUUUAUUCCUAACCUAUUAAUACCAAAAACAUAAUAUUUAAUUAUAAAAGUACUAGAAAACAGACUCGUUAAGUGCAGAAAUGUCCUAAAAUAACUACUACAAGUGACAUUAGGUCAUUUAUCCUUUAGGAUUUACAACAAUUACCCUAGUAAAAUACAAUGUUUACAAUUUAACCAGGAUUCAAGAAGAUGGGCCUUGAAUCUCUUCCAAGCAAUGGGCUAGUCUUGUCGGGAAAAAUGACCCCCAAUGAACAAGAGGGAACACCCGUUUCUAGGACUAGGGUUUGUUGCCCCUUCCCUUAACUCAAGCUUAUUUGGACCUUGUCACUUAUAGAGUCAAUUAUACAUGUUAUCUUGUAUUUAAACUGAAUCAUAAAAUUUAUCCCUCCCAAUAAAUAUAUUUUCUAUACCCAAAAUAUUAUUUAUUCAUUUAAUUAAUAAAAUAAAAUAAUUAAAUUAUUUUCUCAACCUAAUUCUAAUUUCAUUAAAGUCAUAUUGAUUUUAUUGUAUUAGAAUCUACGAGUAAAUCAAUUUAAUUAACUUAUUCUCAUGAAAGUAUGAUAGCUUCAUUAAUUUAAUUUCCACUUUGAACUUUAAUUAUUUAAUUAAAAACAAUUAAAUAAUAAUUCGAAAAAUUAAUUUAAUUAUUGAGUCAUCUCUUGUUCACGAGAAAACGCAUUCACUGCGAAUAAUGAUACAUGUGAUCUAUUUAUCUAGUUAUUUGUUUCACAUAUUUCAUAUAAUCGAUUAAUGCAAACCAUCAAGAUUAUUUCGAGCUAGCCGAGGAAUCAAUUAGACAUAUAUAAUUCAGGCUCAAAUAAUAUGUAAUUAAGUUCAGACUCUUAGUUUAUUAAUUAGAACAUUAUUUAGUCAUGGAGUCAUUUCACUAAAGUACUAUGAUUGAGCUCUGCCCAUUAUAUUACUAUUAUGAAAGCUAUUGCACCAAGUGUUCAUCUAAUGACUUUUCCAUAUGUGUUACUCUUAUAAGAUAUCCUCAAUCUCUUUGAGAUAAAAAUUGUUAUCCCAAUAUGAUCCUAUUUUAUCUCAUGGUAACCAUUACAUAUCUCUUAAUGAAAAACUAAUUAUUAACAAAUAGUAAUUAAAUCAUUUGUCUUAGGACAAAUAACCUGUGGUCACGUUACUUUUCAUCAUCAUGUAAUGUCAAUGAGAGAACAUCAUUUACCCCUUUUUGGGUUAUGGAUUCCACUAUUGUAAGUGAAGCUAUGUAAUGUAAAAGUCGUAUACGCAACGUACCAACUUUCCACUCUAUUACUAAUUGAAAUUAAGACUAUCAAUAUAUCAAAGUAUACGAGUCACAUACACAUAGUUUGUCACUAGCUCAAGAUUGAGGUAAGUCACACUAUGAAUGCUAUAAGCAAAUAAAUCCAUAAAUGGAUCUAGGGUUUAUUCUAUUUGUAUCCUAUCAGAUAUACUGUCAGUUCAGACAAUCAUAUAUAUGUCUCUAUCUUUUGGGAGUCAUCCACUCCGAUACCCAAGACAAAAUAUCUCGCUAAUUGGACUUGAUAGACGUCAUAAUAAUCUUUUAAUCGACUUGCUCAAUUUUAAUUAAACUAUGGACUUAAUUAGAUUAUCUAUUAAUAUAAGUUAUUUUCUCACAUUAUAAUCCGACCACAUAAUACAACUUAGUAUUAGUUAAAUGUCAGAUAAUCAAUGAGCUAAAAUUUGAUUUGAUUUUAUUUUGCAUGCAAAAAUCAUUGAGGAUAUUAUACAAAAAAUAUUAAUGAUAGUGAUGGAAUUUAUUAAAUCGGUUUGUUCGAAAAAUUAUAAGUAUAUAAAUGUAAUCACUAUUGUAAUGCCCCAGAAAUUCAAGUAUUUUAUUUUUUGGAUUUAGUCAAUAUAUAAUUAAUUAAGUCUCUGUAUCUGUGGUUAGUGCCUUGAUUUUACGUUUGAGGUUUUGGGUUUGAAUCUGAUUUUGGGAAAAUUCAAUUAUUUUUGUUCCUAGCCUUAUCCUUAAUUGUAUGGCUUCAGUAAUAUUUUCGAUCAACUCAUGUCAGAAUGAGCCUACUAGUUCAAGUGGUAAGGUGUUAGCUUUCCCUAAGAUCUUGUAUUCAAAUUCACGUGUGAGCGAAUGACAAUAGUUUUUGCUUGUGUGUGCGUGCCAUUUAUGUAGUAGAGGUUUGGUGGAAUUGAAAUUCUGUAGUAGUUGAAUGGGGAUUAGUGUUUAGGAUUUUGUGGGAUUUGGUUGGUAGUGGGGAGUUGAGAUUAUUAUCUUUAUCUUUAUUUUUAUUUUUAUUUUGUUCCCAAAAAUUCCCUCUUCCCCACAUUUUUGUUUCUCUGUAAUUUCCUUCUGACAUUUUUUGGUCCCUUCCCAUUUUACUUCUUUCUUUAAUUUUGACCUCUAAUUGUUUGAUUGAAUCGCUGUGAUUUGGAUUUCCUUUUAUUUCUUCUUUCGGCUUGGUAAAUAGGGCUUUAUUCUUCUUUAAGUUCUUGAUUUUUGUAUGUUCGUUUGGUUUAGGGAUUUUGGAGUGGCAAAGUUGUGGGGAUGGUUUUUGUAACAAGGAUUAAUGGUUGUGAAUUUGUUGAUUUAGGUGAGAAUCUUGAUUUUAACACUCCUCCGGCGAAUUAAUCCUCGUAGGAAAGUGCUGUUCGUUCAAGGGUAAGUGAUUUUGUCAAUUUAGUAUAGUUGUGGUUGUUGAAGUUUUGACUCAUUAGGAAGUCGACGGACUUUAGUUUCGUAAUUAGAGUGUUCGUAAGGAAUAAUUUGUUAAGUUUGUGAUGUUUUUAGGUACUGGUUAUCUUAGGGGUGCGCUCCUAUCGGAACUAGACCAGGUGUAUAACAAGAAACCCAAAAAUCAGCAAAUGACAAAAGCUGAAAAACAACAUUGUCGACGCCACACGGCCACGACCAUAUGACAGGCCGUGUAUGAGAUUGUGUGUGACACACGGUCUAGGCUAUUUGGGUUGUGGGCUACACCAGUGUGUGGGCCCAAAAAUUCAGAGUUUUUCUCUAGGGUCGUACACAUCGUCCUAAUCGACUGUGGGCCUUCCAUGGGGUCGGUAUGUGAUUAAAUAUAUUAUAAAACAUAAAAUUUAGUCAUUUGUUAGUAUAAUUUCUGCUAUCUGCAAGUGUAUUUGAGAUGUCAUAUGAUAAAUGAAUCCGAGAAUAAUGUUAUAUAUGUGGUUUGUAUAUGAUAUGUUAUGCAUGAUUUCUGCUCUGAUUAUAUUUGAUUCUGGGAUGGGAUGUAUAUUAUGUGGAUGAAGUGCUUCUGUGAGAGACAACAUCUCGCCCACUAUACUGGCAGCACAACUGCAGAUAUUUUGUAUGUGUCUUAACGGCACUAAGUGGUGUGUAAGGUUGGAUGGGUGUUUCAAAUGCAUAUGGUGUGUUGGGAUGAUCGAAUAUGGUGUCUAUCAGUUGAGGGUAGGAAACAUAUAUAUAUCUGAAUCUGAAUUGCUCUAUUAAGAUUCUGUACUGUUAAAUUUGUCUAUAAAUAAUUAUCUAUUUGAGUUUUUGUUACACACUGAGUUUUGAAAACUCAUAUUAUGUUUGACUGUUAUUUUCAGGUAAACCUUGAACUUAGACGGAUCGAUGCAAAUGAGAGCUCGGUUAAUAACAUAAUUUUUCCUAAAUUUGACUUAUUUAGUUUUGGUUUGAGAAUUUUGUAAAUUUUGGACACUUUGAACAUUCGGGAUUGUUUUGGGUUUUGGACUUUAUUUUUCGUUUUCGUAUAAUAUGGUUUAAACGUUUUAUCGACAAUGAUUAUUUUCUGCAAAAACAACAGGUUUCAAUUAGCAAACUUUGUUUUCAAAAGUACAUCUUUCUAAGUGAUGCCGCUGCAAAGUAAUUGAUUUUUUUAGAAAACGUAAUUGAAACAUGCUUUCAACUAAAAAGAUAAUUAAGAAUAAUUUCUAUUAAAUUGGAGUUUUCUUUAGCAACAGAAAUUGUGUUGUUUUUCAACGUUUCUAGAAAGCUAAAUUUUCAACCAUUUUACAUAAUCACUCUAGAUUCGGCCAAAGCGUUUAGACCAGGUUUGGGGUGUUACAACUAUACUAAAGACUCUAGAUCUCAACAUACUUAUAGAGUUUUGAAGGCAAAUCUUUUUUUUUUUAAAUGAAGGCCGUAAUUGGUUGUGGAACCAUGAGAACUUUAAAUAGAUGACGCAUGAACUUGAGUUGAUGAUUGGCAUAACAGAGCAUAGUGGUCAUAAUCACUAUCGGAGACAAUUUUUGCAUUUUCCCUAGAACCAUGAGAGCUUUAAAUGGACGAAGCUUGAACUUGAGUUGAUGAUUGGCAUGACAAAGCACGGUGGUCAUACUCACUACCGGAGACAAUUUUUGCAUUUUCCCUAGAACCAUGAGAACUUUAAAUAGACGAAACUUGAACUUGAAUUGAUGAUUGGCAUGAUAGAGCUUGGUGGUCAUAAUCACUACCGGAGACAAUUUUUGCAUUUUUUAAAAAGUACUAACCAAGAGCGGAGAAAAAUAUGGGUUUGAAAAGAAAAUGAAAUAAUGAAAAUUUUUGUAUUUAAAGAAAGAUGAAAAAAGAAGUUAAUUCAAUGUUUUAUAAAUAUUUAUUUUGGUCAUCAAAAAAUAAAAUUUGUCAAAAAAUAAAAUUUGAAACUAGGGCAUUAUCAUUACAAAAUAUUUUCAUUUUAGUCACUCGUCAUUAAUUUAAUGUUAUUGUACAUUUAUUUUAGUUACUCAAUUUUAAUAAGUUUUCAUUUUGGUCACUUAUUUUAUUUUUUAAAAUUAAAAUUAUUUUUUUCAAAAAAGAAAAUAAACUUGAGAUUGUACUGGGAAUUGAGUUAUUGAGUUGCAGAAAUAAAACUCAAGUUUUUACCGGUAAAUCAAUUCCCCAUAAAAAUUCAAAAUUUUCCUUGUAAAACCUAUGUAAUUCACGGGAGAAACCUAUGUGUUUCUCUUUUUACUAAAAAAAUUAAAUUAGUUUUAAAAGAGAAAAAAACAAAGAAAAUUAGAAAGAUAAAAUGUUUUUCCUAUAAAAAUGUAAGAUUUCUUUAUAAAAUCUCAAGUUUUUCCUUUUUAUUGAAAAAUAAAAUAAAAUAAAUCCUAAUAAAAACAUUAAAAAGAUUUUUCCUAUAAAAAAUCAAAUUUUUAUUAUAAAACUAAGUAAUUCCUUCUAAAAUCCACAGGUUUUCUCCUUCUAUUAGAAAAAAAAAUUAAUUUUAAAAAGGAAAAAAUAAAUAAAAUGAGUUUUUAUGUAAAAAUUUAGGUUUUCCUGUAAAACUCAAUUUUUUUUCUUUUUUUCUGAAAAAAAGAUUAAAUUCCACUAUUAGCCCCUAUACAUUGUGAAAGUUGUGCAUUUAGUCCCUGCACUUUAAUUUGAUCAAUUUUAGUCUCUAUAUAUUUUUUAAUUUUAACAUUUCUGACUCAAAUAAUAACAGUUAAAUCCAUUUGGUUUAAUUUGAUUACUAGCCUUGUACAAUGCAUACACUUCUAGAUUUAGUCUAUAUUCUUCAAUUGGAUCAUUCUAAGUCCGCCUAUUUUUUGAAUUUUAAAAUUUAAAUCUUGAUGCAAACGACAAUAGCUAAUCCAUUAACUGAGUAAUAUGCGGAAAUAACAAGUUUGACAUGACAUUACACAUGAUAAUAUAUUUGCCAUAUCAUAUUUUGAAAAUAAUAGAACUUAAUCAAAUUAAUAGUUAUUAUUUGGCGAGUACUAAAAUUUAAAAUUCGAAAAGUAUAAGGUCUAAAAAUGACUAAAUUAAAGUACACAGACUACAUCUACAACAUUCGUAAAGUACAAAGACUAAUAGCAGAGUUUAGCCUUGAUUUAUAAAGCUUUUGAUAUAACAAUAUUAAAGAUUAAUUUUUCAUGGUACUCCGUAAGUCAUUUGUGUUGGAAAACAAAAUAUAUCAUUAAAAUAUUUUCAAGUGAUACAAAUACCUAAAAACAUAUUUUCAAUAUUAUUUGACUCAAACAAAAUGCUUUUGAUUUGAUCCAAGUCAUUUUAAAGAGUUCAAAAAUAAUUUUAAAGCGUUUUAAUAGUUAAAUAUCGAUACAUGUUCUUGAGGUAAGCGAUACAUGUUUUAAAGGGUUAAAGUAUCAAUACCUAACUUAAAAAUCAUAUUAAUAAUUUUUUUUUUCAUUUUUACCAUUUAACCAAACAAAAAAUAUGCUUAAGUCUUUAUAUUCUUCGUAUAUUUGAAAUUUAGUUCAUUUUAUUUUCACGAAUGUAGUCCUUCACUUUUUGGAUUUCAAAUUCAUGUUCAAUUGUUAACAUAGUUAAAAAAAUUGUAUGAUUUUUUUUAACAGAAGAGAAUUAGCACUAAUUAGCUAAUAAACUAACAAAACUCAGCAGCAUAAUGCAUUUCCUUCCUUAACAGCUCACGAAUCUCAUCCAUAGUAAAGGAUACUCCUUCAAGCCAGGUUCGAUUUUCCUUGCUGCUUUGCCCAAGUAGUCUGCUAAUAAAUUUGAUUCCCAAUAAACAUGCUUGAUCCUGAUGUAGUCUAUGGUAGCCAGAAGGUUCUGUAUUCGACGUGAUAACGCAACCCUCCCGAUUCCAUUCUUCUUCUUCAACAACAUAUUAACCACUUGGAGACUAUCACACUCAGUUACCAGCUGAUUGAGUCCAUACAUUUUAGCUCAGCUUGAACAGCAGUGCAACAUCCUAUAUUCCUCCCCAAGCCUAGUACCCAUUGCCCAUUUGCAUCUCUAAAAACACCAGCAGCAAAACCAUGAGCAGAACUAGGCAGCAUGGCGCCAUCCACAUCCAACUUUAUCCAUCCUACAACCGGCUUCUUCUAAGGAUUAGCUCUGCCAUCUCUUGACUACAAAUUAUUCGAAACAACAAGCGUGGAAAAACAAUAUGAGGCCCACUUACACGCCGAUUCGAUGACCUGUCGGGAAUUAAAGGAGUCUUCGCCAAAAACCACCAAAUCCCUUGUUCUCCAAAGGAACCAACAAAGAUAGCCAAAAACAUAAGACCAGCUAAUACUCGAAAGAGAAGCUCCUCACUUGUUCUCCAAAUUUAAUAUAAUCCAUUCCCAAAGCAGCAAAUUGAAGAAAGCUUCCUAUGAAAUUUAUCAUAAGUGUUUUUCAAGUCAACCUUAAUUAUCAUCCACCCUUUCUUGUGCAACUAGAAUGUUGUCUAUGAUACUCCUCCCCACUAUGAAGCUAACUUGACUUGGAGCAAUAAUAAGCGGCAUAAUAUCUCGGAGCCGGUUCACAAUAACUUUCGUAACUACCUUGUAAAGAUAUAUACAGAGACUGACUGGCCAUACUCUGGGCUAGACAUUUUCGGAAUAAGGACCAACAAAGUCUUAUUAAGGUUCUGUUCAACAGGAUGUCCACAAAACACCAAUCGAACCAUCUCGGUGACAGAUCAUUUUUAUUGGAAAAAUUGGACAUUCAACCCAUCAAUUCUUGGUCAUUUGUAACUUUCUCCAUCGUUACCGGCAUCGAAAGAGUAUCAAGUUGAUGUGAUAUUUUCAAAUUAAAAAAAGAAGUUGGAUAGCGAUGUAACAAAAAGAAAAUGUUUAAUUGACCAGAAUUUAACCUAAUUAUUAAAAUUACUUGUAUUUCCUUUUUGGUCUUCUUUUACUGCCCAUUCUUAUCGCGAGUCCAUAGGCAUGCAUAAUCUUUGCGAAUUUCAAUCGUUUCUUUGCUUCUCAACUCUCAAUAAAUUAAAUAAUAAUAUCCGGAAAAUCAGCGGACAGGCGGGGGCUCUGUUAAGGUACAACAGACACUAUUGUACGGUACGAAAAGCCAACUUUGUGACGGCCCCAACAUCCGUAUCCUCUCCCUUAACCUACACUAAAAGGACUAAGCUUGAAAACCAAUGUUACUGUCCCACCCUAAAUAAUCCUCAAACCCUCUAACCAUAACAUCAACCAACCCACAACAGCCCUCUUCUUUCUUUCAUUCCUUUUUUUUUCUGAGUUCAAAAGGAGAAGCGGGUUUCGGCUUGUUUUGGGUUUUCUUUUUGGGCGAAAAUGGUGAACCCCAGAUGUUAUUUGGACAUAAGUAUAGGAGGAGAAGUAGAGGGGAGGUUGAUAGUGGAGUUAUACAGGGAUGUUGUCCCUAAAACUGCUGAAAAUUUCAGGGCUUUGUGUACUGGUGAGAAAGGCGUUGGACCUAAUACUUCUGUUCCCCUGCAUUACAAGGUUCUUUUCUUUCCCUUUCUUAUAAGCACACACACACACACACACACACACACACAAAUAUACGUGUAAAUGCAUGGAAGUAUGCCUUGAUUGGUAUUUACUCUUUUAAUUCUUCUUCUUCUUCUUCAUGGAAUGUUAAAGUGUUAACGAUCUUUAGUUUGAAUGUACUAAAACCCUUUUUCUUUUUGUGUUUAUACAAAGAAAUUUAAAGUGCCUGCAGUGUUUGAUCUUAAUGAAUGGUUAUUUGGUAUAGCUUACAUGUUGUUGUGUUUGCAUAUUGUGUAUUAUGUGAUGUAAUACUGCAUAUUCAAAAACAAUAUAUGUGUAGCUGCAAUGGGAAUGUUAAGAUGAAUGUUUAUACUGGGAAGGCUGUAAAUUAUACUGCUAUUCUUUCUUUGUUUCCUAAUUACUCCUAAUUAUAGUGCAAUAUUAAUAUACAGGGUGUCCGAUUUCAUCGAAUUAUCAGGGGUUUUAUGAUAGAAGGUGGGGAUAUAUCAGCUGGUGAUGGAACUGGGGGAGAAUCCAUUUAUGGCUUGAAAUUUGAAGAUGAAAACUUUGACUUAAAACAUGAACGAAAAGGAAUGUUAUCAAUGUCUAAUAUGGGGCCUAACACCAAUGGAUCUCAAUUCUUUAUUACCACUAAUAGAACCUCUCAUCUCGAUGGAAAACAUGUGGUUUUUGGGAAGGUUAUAAAAGGAAUGGGUGUUGUUCGUUCCAUUGAACAUAUUGCCGGUGAGGAUGGUACUAAUUACCCCACUCAAGAGGUUGUAAUUGCAGAUUGUGGAGAAAUUCCUGAGGGGGCGGAUGAUGGAAUAUCCAACUUUUUCAAGGAUGGUGAUAUUUAUCCUGAUUGGCCAGCUGAUGUCGACAACAAACCGGAUGAAAUAUCUUGGUGGAUGAAGGCAGUAGACUCUAUCAAAGCUCUUGGGAAUGAGCAAUUCAAGGUAUUAAAUAUGAUUAUAUGGUUAUCUGUGGUAUAAUUCUCUUUUUUUAACCUUUUUCCUAGACUAAACAUGGUACAAUAUUCAGUAUAAGGAAUGGUUUUGCCUCUUAUAGAAACAGGAUUAUAAGAUUGCUCUUAGAAAAUAUUGCAAGGCUUUGCGCUACUUGGAUGUUUGCUGGGAGCUGAAGGGCAUUGAUGCAGGUGCAUAAUUUAGUUUCUUUGUUUGACGAUCGUGAUUUAUAUUGUGAUUGCCAUGAAUCCUUGGGUUGUUUUUUUUAAAGAAAAAUUCUUCAUUUCCUAUUUGUCUUUGUACAGGGAAGAGCUCGACUUUGCGGAAGACCAGGUCACAGAUAUUUACAAAUUGUUCUGUAAGAUCUCUGAAAUCCUUGAAAAUGUUAGCUCAUAGAUAAUUCAUAGGUCUUGGCAUCUAAAAUGAAAAUUUUAGAUCAUUUCAAUAUUCUUUGUCAUGUUUCAGAUUCUCAUUUGUUGAAUCUGCUCUGUAAUGUUGGACCGAAAGUAUGUGGCAGUGUGGAGUUCCUCAAAUAUUGGAUGACAAUCAUGCAUAUAGUUUCCACUUUAUUGAUGUUUGUUUUCUUUAAUAAAAGCGCAGUCUGUGUUGUUUGCCUCAGGCCUGCAAGUUGAAACUCGGAGACUUAAAAGGAGCAUUGUUGGAUGCGGACUUUGCAAUUCGUGAUGGUGAAGAUAAUGUGAAAGCUUUUUUUCGACAAGGCCAGGUCUCAGUGCUUACUAUCUGAAUGACAUUCAAAGCCUUGUUCAUUCAUUCUUUGGCAUUGCAUGCUAUUGCAGUUACACACAAUUGUCCAAACUAUUGAAUGGUUAAACUCCACUUUUCCUGAGAUGCUUUGUCUCUCAAAAUGCUUUUCAAUUUUUCAUUGAUGUCAGGCACAUAUGGCACUUAAUGACAUAGAUGCCGCAGUUGAGAGCUUUAAAAAGGCAUUGGACUUGGAGCCAAAUGAUGGUCAGUGCAAUCUUGUUUCUUGCAAUAGCAGUCUUCAUUUAACACAUUUGUCCAGCAUAAUUCACUUUUAAGCCCCUCGACUGCUAGCUCCCUUUUUACUGUUUUGAGGCUUGGAAGGAGGUAAUAUUUGGUUUAUGUAAUUGGUAUCAUUGCCAUGGUAAAAUUGCUUAUGGACCAUUACUCCAGUAUGGAUCUACAGGCUAGAGUAUCUCAUCCCUUAAUAAAUUGUUGCUAUUACCCUUGGUAUUUGUUUGUCAAAACCAUACAAUUAUAUACUUCUAGUAGAACUCCGCGAUGAUUUUCAUCUCAUACCGUGUUUUCCACCCUUCAGGUGGAAUAAAAAAAGAGCUUGCAGCUGCAAAGAAGAAGGUAAAUUAUCAUCACUGUUUCCUUUGUCAAGCUUGUCAAAUAUUUUAUACUUUCAUCCCUGCACGUACCUUUGAUUUCAUCUCAUGAGGUGAUUGAAUUUGUAAACCUACCGCAGAUUGCUGAUCGAAGAGACCGAGAGAAACAAGCAUACUCUAGAAUGUUUCAGUAGAUUCUUAGCCAAAACCAUGUAAAUCCUUACUAGUUCUGCUGAUUACUGUUUGGUUGGGAGGAAAAUCAGGUAUGAAUUUUUGUUCCAACUUUUCCCAUGGACUGGAGCAUGCUUUUAGAUCCUAAUGUCUUACUGGUUUUAUUCCAAUGGGCAGGCUUCAGCAUCAGCAAAAAGUUGCAGGAUAUCUGUUUAGGACAUACUCAAAUUUGGAUGAAUGUUAAUUGGGAAUGUUACUUUCUUUCAUACCUAAUCAAGCGGAUUGGCAUUUUAUUCCUAGUAGAAACUGGAUUGUUCUUUACAUGUUUUGAGCUGGUUUGAACUUUCUUCCUAUAGGCACAGGACAACCUUAUAUUUGAUUGACGUAAACCAUACUGAACCUCACAAUCGAGCAAAGCUUGAAACCGAUUUUACAUUUAUUUGACGCAUAAACUUACUAGUAAGAAAAGGCCUCUAAAGGUCCCAAUUUAUGAAGCAAGCCUAAGCGUUCCUUAGCCGGAACUCUCAGUGAUAUUAAAGUCAACCAUUCCCAACAGCAUCAAGCAAUGGAGAAUUUCCAUUGUAAAUGAGGCAGUUGAUGGAGCCCUAUUUGGAGGGCGAUAUCUGCAUUAUAUUUCUCUUCAAACAUGGCUCCUAGUGACAGCACUAGCAUCCUCCUGCAAUCCACAUCUCUUUUGAAACGCUGUUUAUGGCUAUCAGUGGCUGCAAGUCCAGAUUUUAUGGUUGAAGAAUUUGUCUCAUAUGUCAUUGUAAUCUCAAGGAAUAAAAAAAAUUCGGACUCAACUUCCCAGUCGAGCCGGUAGGCAGUCUUUCGGUGUAGUUAAUCAGAUUUACAGUUCUAAUCUAUUUACAUUUUCUGUUACUAAUUAUUUUUAUAUUUUAUCUAUGAUCUAGACCUGUUCAUGGGUUGGGCUGGGUAAAAAUAUAGGCUUGAAAAAUAGGCUUGGACAAAAAAAUAAGGCCCGUUUAAAAAACAGGCCAAGCCUCGGGUAAAGUAUUUUUAGUCUGAGCCUAGCCUGGCCUAGCCCGAAUUCACUAAAGGAUAAAAGAAUUUUUUUUUGUUUUUUAAUAUUAUUUUCUUAUUGUUUUUUCCUAUUUUGCUAUCACUUUACUAUUAUGUUGUUAUUAUUUUGUUGUUAUUGUUUGAAUAUUAUAUAAAACUUAUUUUAUUGUUAAUUUUGUUAUUAUUUUAAAGACAUUUGUUAAUUUUUGUUAUUAUUUUAGAGGCAUUUGCUUGUUAAGUUGCAUCUAUCUUAGUGUUAUUUAUGUAUACAUAUUUUUUAAAAUUUAUUUUCAAUUUGUUGGGAAAUAUUUUUUUUGAUGUCUUUAGUAUUUUUGAUGUAUUAUAUAUAUUUUAAAAUUAUAUAAAAUAAUAUAAAAAUUAAUAUGGGCAGGCCGGGUCGGGCCUGAGUUUUAACAUUUUUAUUCUAAUUAGGCUUAGACAAUAUUUUAGACCUAUUUUUUGGGCCGAGCUUGAGCCUAGCAAGCGGACCUAAAUUUUUAGUUGAGUCCAGCCUGGCCAUGCAUACCUCUAACCUAUUCUAUGUAAUUUUAGAUUUAUGGCAUACCAAAAAAAUAUAUUUUUUAAAAUUUUAAAUAAAAAUUAAUUGAUUUUUUAAUUAGAAAUGGUAAAGUUACAGUUUUAGGUUAAAACCUCAUAAUUAAUUUUUAUUGAUUUAGUAUAUAAAAAAGUAAAAACAUUCUUAUAAAAAUAUAAUUUAAUUUGUAUAUGAGAGGAUUUUUUAGUAAUUUCAUAAUUGAAUAUAGAUAGAUAGAUUGGUAAAGAACAUAAUAAUGAUACAAGCACAAAUUUGGAGAAACUUUUGAACCGACUAAUAUAGUCUUUCCUCUUCAUUAUAUUAUUGAAUUUAUCAGUUUAAAUAUUUGCUAUUAUUUAUAAAGUUUAUUAUAUUUAUAAAUAAGAAAUUUAAUUUUAUUAAAAGAAUUUAAAUAAUAAAUAAAAAAACUAAAUUUUAUAUUGAAUUAUUUUAUAUUUAAAUUAGUCUGUUUCCGUUAAUAAAAAAAAGGUAAAAAUAAAAACCUUCAAUGAAAAUAAGUAAGAAAAGCUUCAAAAGCCAUUGAUUCAUCAAUGAAAAAAACAAUAGUACAGCACAAAAAUUUAAAGGAGGUGAAAAUCUAGAGAUGCUAAUACGAAGAAGCAGUUUGCAAAAUCAACUCCAGUAAAGCUUACACAAGACAAGAAGAAAAUUAUUAUUCAUAGGUGUUGAUUUGUUUUCAUGUUGCUAUUAGUCAAAAUACGGUUUUUAAAAUGAGUAAACUAUAAAAAUGGUCACUUUUGUUUGCCUCAUAUUACUUUUUAGUCACUUAUGUUAUUGUUUUGUUACGAAGUGGUUAUUCUAUUGUAAACUCUGUUACCUCCCUAACAGCGGUUCUACCUGGCAGUCCAAAUGGGUUUUAAAUGCCAACUGGAUGUCCUACAUGGUCGUCCAAAUUAAAUUUGUUUGAUUAAAAACCUAUUUUCAUCCUAGCAACUGGACAUCCAAGUCGGCAUUUAAAACUCAUUUGGAUUGCCACGUAGGACUUCCGUUAGGGAGGUAAUGGAGUUUAACGGUAGAGUGAUCACUUCGUAACAAAACGAUAACGUGACUAAAAUGUAACAUUUCAAACAUAAGUGACUAAAAUGUAAUCUAAGGCAAACAAAAGUGACUACUUUGUAGUUUACCCUUUUAAAAUUUAUAUACAUAUUUAAUAUUUUUCGGUAUUUUUAUCGAACUUUUUUUAGAUAAUUUUCUAUUUUUAAAAGUAUUUUGAUUUUUUUAAAUAAGGACUAAAGUGAUAGAAUGUGUAAAGUUGAGAGUCAAUUUUGUUGAAUUUUUUAAAAUUAGGACCAAAUUGAUAGAAUUUAUAAAUAUUAGAGGACUAAAUUUAUUAUUAUGUCAAUAAAAAGAUCAUGUUAAUAUUUCUUUUAUGAUUUUAUGGAGGAGUGACUAAUAUAUCAAAUGUCAAUACUUGAUAACGUUAUUAACUAAAAUAGAAUUUUUACACCCGGUUGACCAAAAUAGAAACACACUAAUAAUUAAGUGACAACUAGUAUAGUUUACCCAUUAUUAUUACAAAUAUGUUAAAAUAAUAAUAUUUCCUAAAAAAGUGUCAUAAUCGACAAUUACGAAAUGGGUGAAAAACAAAAUUAUAUAACAAAUAUAUUUAUAAAAUUUGAUAUAAAAAAACAAAUGAGACUUUGGUUGGAAUGAUAAAGUUUUUUAAAGUUUUAAGUUCAAAUCAUAUUAUGUGCGUUCUUCUAUUUUUUAUAUGAAAUGUAAAAGGACAAAAUACCCUCAAAAUAAUAUAAUUUAUUUUAUAAAAUAAUUAUAUUUUAAUCAUUACCUAACUGAGUGCUUAAUUGAUUUGUGACAACACCUUCGCCAAAAGCUUAAUGCAUAGUAUGAAUAAUAAACUAAAAUAAUCCCAAAGGCUCAAUUGAAAUUUGAUUGAGUUUUAACAAAAAUAUUAAAUUCGAAAAAUAAAUUUGUACAAAUAAAUUGAAUCCGCUAAAACACAACCUCAAAAUUUUAAAACUAAAAUCCCAUCUAUUGAUGAGUUUUAAAUAUGAGAAGGCUGCAUGUAUUUUUUUUUUAAAAACUAAAUUUUGCAUGCUUCUACUUUUAUUUGUUAGGUUAUACAUUUAUGGUUUUUUUUCAAAACUGUUAUAUAGAAUAUUAGGGGAUUUUUACUAAAAUAAUACUAAAAAAAUAAAAAAAUAUCAAAAUAGUAUAAAUUUUUUUAUUUACGAAAAUGGUACAAAAAAAAACAGUUAAAAUCUGAAUGGUGGGCCUGCCACAGGCGGCGCCAAUGGUGCCUAUGGCAGAGGCGGCACCACUUCAAUUAUUUAACCCGAUUCAACCUAGCUGAAGGAGAAGAAGAAGAAGAGAGAUGAAGGAGAAGAAGAAGAAGAAGAAGGUGGUGCGGAAAAAGAGAGAGAGAAGAAAAAAAUAGAAAAAAUAAGGUAUUUUUAAAAAAAUGGAUUAUCUUGUUAUUAUGUUUUUUUGUAUAAUUUUUAUUAUUUUUUUGCUGUUAGUUUAGUUAUUAUUGUUAGUUAUUAAGAUUAAUAAAAACUCAAAUUGAUGGUUUUAGUUAGUAUUAUUAUUGUUAGUUUUUAGGGUUUAGUUAUUAAUAAUUAUUGUUACUUAGUAUUAUUAUUAGUAAAAAAUUAAUAUUAUUAUUAUGGUUAGUUAUUAGGAUUAGUAAAACCCUAAUUAUUAUUGUUAGUUAGUAUUAUUUUGAGUAAAAAACUAUUAUUAUUGUUAUUGUGUUAGUUAUUAGGAUUAGUGGUUAAACGUUGUUCUUGUACAAAAUGAUAACUAAAAUAGUAUGAGCUUAAGAAUGAAAAAAUUGCAUAUUGAAACAUUAAUUUUUUUAUUUAAGUAAUUUUUUUACUGUUCGAGAUUGUUUUUUGAAAUUUUGUUUAUUUUUUGACAGAUUGAAUAUUGAAUAUGGAUGAUAAGUUUUUUGUAUGCGUUUAUUUCGAUGGAAUCAUCUUGACAACAACUGUUGGAUGUAUAUUUGAAUGUCGGCAACAAAUAGCAAUGCGAUUUAAUAGAAAUGUCUCGUUGGAUGAUAUGAAGGGAAUGAUUAAUGCAAAAAUUGUUAAACAUUGUGGGAGAAGGAUAUAAAAAAUUUUCUACAAGUUUCCAGUUUCAACAAAUCCGAUCAAAUUCACCGAAAUGGAACUUGUAGACGACGAAAAAGUGGAGACAAUGGUCGCUCUUUACUGUGGGAAUGUGAGUGACAAGAAUGCAUCGAUUCACUUAUUUGCUAAAUUAGCCGGUAUGGAGCAAAAUGAAGAUGUCAAUGCAUAUGGUGAAGAACACGGAGCUCAAGAACCAUGGAUAGUGGCUCCAAUAUCAUACGUUGAUAGUGAAUCGACUAUAGGUGGGAUUGUUAUCGAUCUGAAUAUUACACCUGAUAUUGAUGUGAUUGGUGAUGAUAGAUACGAUGGUAGCGAUUAUUGUGGUGAAGAGGUCGAUAGUGACAGUGAUCCUGAUGUGGACGAUGUACCUGAUGAUAUUGACGAUGAAGAUGUGAAUAACGAUGGAAACAUUAACGCUUCUUCGGUCGGGAACCAGAUGCAACGUAUUUUGAUACACAAUAAUCCUGGGCCACACAUUUCGCUUAUAGGCCCCGACGCAGCGCAUGUAACUGGGUUUUCGGAGUACCCUAAAAUAGUUCCUACUCACCGAUUGGUCAUCAAUUAUGAUCAUGAGGAGUUAUUCGUAGGCCAAAAAUUCAAAAGUAAAGAAGAGUGCAUACUUGCUAUUAAACGGUAUAACAUGAACAUAUCAGUGGAUUAUAAAGUCGCAGUGUCUAAAUCGACAAUAUAUAUUGGGGAGUGUUGGAAGGCAGCGGAAGGCUGCAAUUGGCGAGUACGAGCUACAUUCAUUCAAAGUUCGCAGAUGUGGGAGAUAUGAAAAUUUGUUGGGCCUCAUAUAUGCACAUAAACACGUAUGACAGAAGAUCAUCGAAAACUUGAUUCGAAAACUAUCUGUACGUGUAUCAUGCCAAUGGUGAAGGACAUGUCGACCAUUAAAGUUUCGGUACUGAUUACCGAAAUGCAAGCACGAUUCCACUAUCGAGUAUCAUAUCAAAAGGCGUGGAUAGCUAAACAGAUGGCAAUGGAACAAUUGUAUGGGGAUUAUGAUUCGUCGUAUCACGAGCUACAAGGAUGGAUAGCUGCUAUACGGAAGUACGUACCAGGGACUGUGAUUGAGUUAUAGACAAGACCUUAUUACGGCCCAGACGACUAGUUACAGCCGAGAAAAAAAUUUUCCAUCGGCUGUUUUAAACGUUUGAUUCAUGUGUGCGGGCAUUUCCCUACUGCAAGCCAUUUGUGCAGAUGGAUGAGACCUGGCUAUAUGGAAAAUAUACACAGAUCCUACUUCUUGCGGUUGCUCAAGACGGCAAUAGAAACAUGCUCCCGAUAGCAUUUGCCAUCGUAGAUAAGGAGAACUUAGAAUCUUGGGAAUUCUUCCUUACCAAUCUACGGAGGUAUGUUAUUAGCAACGAUAAUAUUUGCAUCAUCUCUGAUAGAGGGAAAGGUUUAACUGCAGCAAUUAGGCAUUCCGGUGUGCCCUGGAGAUCCGUUUACUGCAUCCGUCACAUUGCAGCUAACUUCCAUAAAGAUUAUAAGAAUGCAUACUAGAAGAGACAAGUAGUGGCAAUGGGUAAAUGAUAACCUUAUCUUUUCGAUAUAAGUUGUAAUGUUUUAUGUUAUCGAGUUACUGGAACUUAUCUUUUCUUAAUACAUGUACAGCAUACGAGUUAAAGCCACAUAUUUUCCGCCAAAGAAUGAUUCUACUUGAGAGUGACAUGGAGGGUCAAACAAAUGCAUCUCUCUGAAAAUGGUUGGGCACAAUGGAGCCAUGGCAAUGGGUUCAAAGUUUUGACGAGAGCUUUUGUUAUGGUCAAAUAACCACAAACUUAAUGGAGGGGGUCAAUGCUGUGUUGUUGAAAACAUGAAAUCUUCCGAUUGCAUCUGUAUUCUCGGCUACCUUAAUGCCAAGAAUGGGCCCGCAACAAGUCGACCAGAUGGAGGUGGGACACGUGUUUGUCGAAGAUGUUAGGGGUGCAAUGGUUGCAAACCAUCGGAUGGUGAGGUCGAUGAAUGUAGAAAUAUAUUCACGACGUCUGGAAACGUUUCAAGUUACUGAGACCAUCGACCGUCGACCCGGUAUACCACCUAGGUCAUAUGGAGUUAAUCUCCGGAACAGACAGUACGACUGCAGGAGUUUCGAAACACUUCAUUAUCCAUGUGUGCAUGUCAUGGCAGCGUGUGCUAAAGUGAACCUUAAUGUUGAACAAUUUGUCGAUGAUGUGUACACGCUCGAGCACACAUUGUGUGUCUGGGAAAAUGAGUUCCCUGACCUGCCUGACUUGUUUAUGUGGGAGGUGCCUCCGAUGACUUUCGAGCUUGUCCUAGACAGAGAGCUACUCAGGAAUCUAAGAGGUCGUCCGCAAUCAUCCAGAAUCCAUAAUGAAAUGGACAUUAGGGUGAAAUUCGACGGUAAGUAUUGUGAAAUAUGCAGGUUAAGUGGUCAUAAUCGGAAUAAAUGCCCUCAGCGAAACUAUCAUGUUUGACAAUCGUUAGGAUAGGGUCGAAAUUGAGCUUAUGCUGUAAAAUUUUAUGUGUAAUGUUGUAAUGUUGUAAUAUUGCCGUAACACCCAUUUGGAAUAAUUAAAAUUAUUCAUUUUCUUAUGCUUAUGCAUAUGCUUAAAUUGUAUCCAAAUUAAGUUAUAAAAAGUAUAAUUCAUUUGGAAUAAUUAAAACUAUAUCCAAAAUGGACCCAUUUAACAUUAAAUUCAGCUUUAAUAUAAUGCAAAAAGGGAAGAAAAGUUCCGUAGUAAGCAUAACUAAAAUUAGAAUAAUUAAAUUUAUACAAAAAUUACAAACUUUGUAAUGUACAACAAAGUGCAAUAAACCCCUAAAAUUGAUGGUUCAAUGGUGUGGUCCUAGGGGUAUACCUAUGCGGAGGUCGACGGUCACGUUGUGGGUGUUCGCGACGACCAACAUCCUCAUUAGGUGCAGGUGGGGGUGUGCUAAACAUAGAGGAAAAAUCAUGUGGCUCGAUCGGAAUCGACGAACUUGAACCGGAAGGAGUCCCAUGAUGCUAUGGAUACUGGCCGAGAGUGCUAUACUGCAGCGGGUACGAUCCAAAGAUAUCAAACUUGUAUGCGUAUUCGCCCCCUGACAAGCUCAGAAAAUAGUCACUGUCUGCCAAAUCUGGAUGAUAGCAAUGUGAAUCCCCAUGUCAAUGUGAUUGCUUGGGCUUCGGCUCCGGCUCUAGUUCGGGAUCAUGAUCUGCCGCAGGCUCCGCCUCCAUGGGGGCCGCUGGGUACAAUCCCCUAGGUUGCUGCAUGUGCGGGGGGACUACAAUCGACUGCCCUCCAAGUAGAUAUGGCUUUCCGCAACUAGAGUACCAUUGUAUGUACUCUGAUGAUGGUUGCAAAUCGGAAUCCAUAACCAUCUGAGAUAUUCGACCCAUCCGAUUGUUCCAUAGAGAACAAAUUUUUGGUGCUUAACCCCCAAUCCAACUACGGUUUUCCUCUCUUGUUGAUGCCGUGAACCACCCCCAGAUCAUAUGACGGAACCGGGAUAUAUUGGACGUAACCAAACUGUCGUAACACUUGAUCCCCAUGGUACCACUCGACUACAUUGAAAUUUAUAAUUGGUGCGUUAGUGCACCACAUUUGAGAAUGAACGUAGGCAGACGAGGGUAUCAUAGCUGCAAUUUUCGGUCUACGAUAUGACAUCCAUAUAAUCUGCAUGAUUAAUAACAUGAUUAUAAUUUAACACGGUGUAAGUAAGAUAUAGAAAGUAAGAUAUCACGAAUAUUAGAAUACCUUACCCCUUCCCUGGCAUGUUGUUCGAUCAUCAGUCGGUAUAUCGGGACAGUGUACGACCUCCCGAUACCCGGAUAAAUACUCCACCUACAAAAACAAAUAUAGUAUGGUUGGUAACAUUAAAUUAUAUAGUAUGGCUACAAUUAAUGACAAGUUAUAUUUUAUCACCUGUUAACUAGUCGAUAAACAUAUGGUUGGUGACUAACCGAUGCCAAAAAUGGCAUCCGAUAAAGUGCCCAGGAUUGCAACAAUGUAAGGCAUCCGCCCAUGUCUACAACAGAAGGCUUUGUCGUCUGACAAAGCUCCCGAUACAACACUGCCAUAAUGGCAGAGCCCCAGCUAUACGAGCGAACAUUGGUCAAAUAAACUAAUGGGGGGUAAGUACAUGAUAUGAACAUUGUUGUUGUUUGAAUCGAGCAUCAGUACUCCCCCUAUAAUAUGCAUGAUGUACGCUCGAGCAGCGCACAUCAACUCUCCUUUAGUGGUAUUAGUUGAUAACUGUCCAAAUUUGGCUUUCAGCCAUGUAAAUUUCAAGCCCAUAAAAUUUGACUCAUCAUCGUUUGACGAGUCUCCUAGUAGCUGAUAACAUAGUGCAGCCGGCUCAGUAAAUGCAGUUACUCCCGUUACGGGACUCCCGUCGAUUGGGAGCCUAAGCUGCAGUGCAACAUCCUCUAAGGUUACUGUGCACUCCCCACAUGGAAAAUGAAAAGUGUGGGUCUCCGGGCGCCACCGCUCCACUAGUGCAGAUAUUAAAUCAUACCGUAAGUCGAACGUCCAGAUCAAUACUACUGACCCGGAUCCAGCUUACUCCAAGUAGGGCAUCAAUCGUGAAUCCGGGGGAUAUACUAUAUCAUUCACCCGACCCCUUAAUACAUGGUACGAGCCCUGAUAGUGUUAAAUUACAAAAAAUAAAUAUUAGGAUAACAUGAUUUAUUUCUAUAUAUUACGUAUAUCUUUUUUUAAUAGAACCCAUGAUUAACAAAUAAUAAUAUAUUACCAUAUUAUUAGCCGCAUCAGAUAUGUGAGGAUCGUCGUUAAUCAAUCGAGCUAUUGCGAUGCCUGCAACUUCAAAACAAAUUUAGUAAAAACCUUUAUUUCGGCCCUUUGUUCGUAUUUUUUCCCCGAUUUUAUUACUUUAAAAAAUAUUCUAUUUUCUAAUUUUCUAAUUUUACAUUAUUUUAGUACAUUAUGUUUGAAAUGUAUUAAUUUAGUGUAUUUUUAAAAUCAAUUUUAAAAAAAACUCCUUAUUUCGGCCCUUUGUUCGUAUUUUUUCCCGGAUUUUAUUACUUUCAAUAAAAAUAUAUUAUAUUCUAAUUUUAUUAUUUUACAUUAUUUUAGUACAUUAUGUUUGAAAUGUAUUAAUUUAGUGUAUUUUUUAAAUAAAUUUCAAAAAUUAACUCUUAUUUCGGCCAUUUAUUCGUAUUUUUCUUCUCGAAUUUUAUUACUUUCAAUAAAAAUAUAUUAUUUUCUAAUUUUAUUAUUUUACAUUAUUUUAGUACAUUAUGUUUGAAAUUUAUUAAUUUAUUGUGUUUUUUAAAUAAAUUUCAAAAAUUAACCCUUAUUUCGGUCAUUUGUUCGUAUUUUUCUUCUCGAAUUUUAUUACUUUCAAUAAAAAUAUAUUAUUUUAUAAUUUUAUUAUUUUACAUUAUUUUAGUACAUUAUGUUUGAAAUGUAUUAAUUUAGUGUUUUUUAAAAUAAAUUUUAAAAAUUAACCCUUAUUUCGGCCCUUUGUUCGCAUUUUUUUCUCAAAUUUUAUUACUUUCAAUAAAAAUAUAUUAUUUUUGUAUUUUAUUAUUUUACAUUAUUUCAGUACAUUAUAUUUGAAAUGUAUUAAUUUAGUGUAUUUUUUAAAUAAAUUUUGUAAAAAAACUCUUAUUUCGGCCCUUUGUUCGUAUUUUUUUACCGAAGCCUCAUUGUUUCAAAAAAUAUAUUAUUUUCGUAUUUUAUCAUUUUAAGCUAUUUUAGUACAUUAUGUUUGAAAUGCAUUAAUUUAGUAAAAAAACCCUUAUUUCGGCCCUUUGUUCAUAUUUUUUUCCGGAUUUUAUUACUUUCAAAAAAUAUUUUAUUUUCGUAUUUUAUUAUUUUACAUUCUUUUCAUAUUUUAUGUUUUCUUAAACAUAUUUUUUUAUUAUUUUAUUUUUAAUGCUAUUUUUCUAAAAAAACUCAUUACAACAUGCUAAAUAAAUUUCAUAAAAAAGUUAUCUAAUCAACAUAGAAUGUACAUACCAUGGGUUUUUUUAUGUUAAAUAAAUUUCAUAAAAUAUAUAUGCUAAAUAAAAUAAUAAAACACAUAUAAUGUACAUAACAUAGAUUUUUUACAUAAAUAUUACAAAAAAAUUAAAAUAAUACAAAAAAAUUAUCUUUACUUAUUUUUUUUCUUUCUUUUUCCUUCUCUUCCUCUUCUUCUUCUCCUUUCCUUUUCUUUCUUUUCCUUUCUUCUCCUUUCCUUCCCUUUUCUUUCUUUUUCUUUCUUAUCCUUCUUUCUUCUAUCUAGUCGAAUGGUCCCCCCAACCCAAUAUAAGGGCUGGUGCCGCUUGUGGCAGUGGCACCUUUGGUGCUGCCUCUGCCACUGGCGUGUCACCUCCUUUGCAGCUUUUUUUUUAACUGUUGUUUUUAUAUAUCAUUUUGGUAAAUAAAAAAAUUAUACUAUUUUAGAAUAUUUUUUUAUUUUUUUUGAAUUAUUUUGGUAAAAAACCCAGAAUAUUAGUCAAGAAUGGCCCAAGAAAUUGUAAACGGUAUGUAUUUUUCAAUAUAUGUAUUUUAUUUUUAUUAUUUUUAAUUUUCUUUAAGGUUUAUUAUUUUUAUAAUUUUUUAAAUGAUGAAAAUUCUAAUUUUUUUAAUUUUAAUAUAUGACUACAUAAAUAAUUGAAUAAAAAAUUAGUGUUAAAUUGUUUGAAUUUGACAACUACUCCUACAUUGGACUUGAACUAUUUGUUUGGCUCAAGUUAACCCAUGAGCUUGGCAAUUGUCCCUAUAUUUGGGGCUCAUAAAUUUGACAAUUGUUUUUACAUUGGGGUAUGAACUCUUUUUUUUUUUAUCUAAGUUAAUUCAUUAUAUUUCUUUGAAACCCCUAAAAUUUAAGCUUCAAUGUGGAAAUGGUUGCCUCGUGCAUGCCCUAAUAUGAAAAUAAUUACCAAGUUUAGGAACUAAUAACUUAAACAAAAAAAAAAUUCAAGUCCAAUAUGAGAAUAAUUACUUAGUUCAAACUCCAAUAUAGAAAUAAUUAUAAAGUUAAGACUUAACUUAGAAAAAAAAAGUUUAAAACCCAAUGUAGAAUUUAUUACCAAAUUCAAACCCAAAUAAUAAUUUAACCCAAAAAAUUACAAUAAAAAUAAAUAAAAACCGUGCAUCCCAUUAAAAGGAAAAUGGUUUGAAUAGCUUUAUAAGAGGAAACAUUACAUUAAAAAAAGUUUGAAAUUUAUGAAGCAAGCCUAAGCUUUCGUUCUUGGGAAAGCUUCUUAGCAAAAUCAACAAGAGCUUCUUCAUUGGUGGAAGACUCUCCUUCAACAGCUUCAUACUUGCCGGUCACCCAAUUCACUCUUGAGACUGGUUUCUUUAACAGCUUUGCCCCAAUUUGCACAAGAUUUUUCAGAUUUUUCUCAGUUGCAAUGUCUACCGACGAUGCAUCCCCCGUCAAUGUGUCGUCCUGUUUUGCCACCAAAAUGAGUAGAAAUAUUAUAUAACCACUUGUGGUACUCCCUCAAGUCUGUUCAAUAUUUGAGAUGGAGGGCUUCCAUAAAGAUAUUAGGUUUGAAAAAUAACGUUUAAAGAAGCUACUUGGCCAAUGAACCCUGGUACCUGUAUACGAAGAUAAUUACACUCGGAUUGAAAAGAGUGGAAGAGAGUAGCGGUAUGGAAAUCAACCAUGUCGGAGCUUGCGUCGAAAAACACAUCAAUAAUCGGAAUUUUGCCACCGUUGUACAGCCAGUCGAUCCUACCCCAUUUGGAUGCCGCUGCUGCAUUGUAUUUCUCUUCAUGCUUGGCUGCACCAGCGCCCAGUGACAACACUAGCAUCCUCCUGCAAUCUAUCGCCUCAUUUCCCACAAUCUCACUCUUUUCCUUCCACAUGUCUUUGGUAAUCUGGGUUAUAGCUAGCAAUGUCUGCAAAUAUAUUAAUUACUUUUUGUUUAAAUUUCAUCUCUUUGAGAAUGUGUCACUCAUGCAUGUGUCCAACAUAAACCAACAAGCCGAAAUGAAGAAAUCGUACGGACAGGAUUAUUUGCAGCAACUCCGCCGUCAAUGAGAUCAAAUGUGCGGGUUUUACCGUCAGCAUCUUUAGUUUCAAAGUAGUGUGCCGGAAGAUAAGUGGGAGCAGCGGAGGUGCUCAUGCACACAUCAGCUAACCUUGCAUUCUUCGCAACAUCCGACUUUGCCUGUAAUUACAACUAGAGAAGAAAAAUGUAAGAAUAUAAGUUGGAUUCUUGUUUAAAUUGAAAUUGGGAAGCUCCAUAAUAAGCUAAACCUACAUCGUUGGUUGAGAAGAUGACUGGCUGAAGAAGCUUGAUAUCGAAAGCUGGGAUAAGCACAUUUGUGAGUGUCUGUUUGAGUGUGGUGUCUUGUAAUAAUUGGUUCGUUAAUGAUCGUAGGUACUUUCCAUCAUAUUUGGGACUCGAGAAUGUUGCUUUGAUUGAAUUCCCCAUUGAUGCCAGGAAAUUAAAGCGACUAAAGAAUAAACAAAUACGUUAAAAUUGAUUCUGCAUAAAGAAAUUAGUAACAAAAGAGAAGCAAUAUUGCCAUUAGAAUUCACCUAUGCUGGGGGAAAAUCUUGGGGCUAUGCUCUAAAUAGAAAUUGCUGAUAUCUUUUGCAGCGAACGAAGGCCUGUUCUGUUGGUUUGGAGUAGUAAGCAUGGUGGCUAUCAACCCACCAGUGCUUGUGCCUGCAAUGAGGUCGAAAUAAUCUGCAAUUCUUGCAUUUGGUCCAUCCAACUCCUACCAAACAUAACUCAACCACAUGUAACAAAACUUUAGCUUGUGUUUUCCCGACAUAUGAGCAUAGAAGACAUGAUUUCUUGUGAAAAAAUUAAGUAGAGAUUCAUGAAGAACCUGAAGCUUGGUUUCAAGGAAAGCAAGAAGAGUGGAUGGGAUAAUGCCUCGAAUGCCACCUCCAUCAAUACUCAGCACCGUUGUCAUCUUCCUUUUCGCAAAAGGACUAGCCAUUUUUUUUUAACCCCAACCCAAAGAUUGAAGUUAAAAUACGUGAUUGAGUUAUGAGAAGCAUCCGAGGAUCAAACACCGUAUUUAUAAGGAAUUCUAGUGUGAAAAAGCAUGAAUAUUGAAGACCAUCAUCAUCCAUUGUUGAACCCCAUGGUAAUAACCCCUCACCUUCGUUGAAGCUUAUUAUUAUUCUUAUUCUCUUAUUCUUCUUAUUAUUAUAUGAAGCCUGUUGAUUUUAAAUUAUCAUUGUGUUGUAAUCGUCUGUUUAAUUGUAAAAUAAAAUAAAAUUCGUUCACGUGUCACACGUUUUGUGGUUAAUUUAUUUAGUCCACCCGUGAUUUUUGGGGUUUUUUCCAGUUUUUUAUUUGAUUUUUCUACUUUCGUUUGGCUGUAAAUCUAAAUUUUUAUUUGAUUUUGCUAGGUGGAUUAUUCUCCCAAUAAUUCCAUCCCACAACCCUUAAUUAAAUAUGAUAAAUAUUAUUGUGAAUAUAAUCUCCACCAGAUAUACAUAAUGUCGAAACUAGGGGUGAGCAUUCGAUCGAAUCGAAUCGAAAAUUUUUUAGUUAAUCGAGUUUUCGAAUCUCAUUUUAUCAUCCUAACUUUAUUUGAAGUUUUCUCGAAUCGAGUCGAGUGAGAUGGAAUUCGAAUUGAAUCGAAUCGAAUAUAUUUGUUCGAGUUAAAUUUUAAAAAAUAAUAUUGGGUCCUUGUAACCAUUGUCACCCAUCGUAAUAAAAUUUGUCCACCUUAAUCAAAUUUUUUAUUAACUUUCAUUACCUCAUAAUUUAUUUAUUAAUUUUUUAUAUAUUGGUUAGCUUAUUUGUUUGCUUAGUUGUUUCAAUUAUCUUCAGAUUCUUGUCACUAUGUAUUUUAGAAUUAAAAAAAUAUUAAAUAUAAAAAUAUAAUUUUUUUAAUAAAAGUUAUUUUAAAAAUAAAAUGUGAAAUUGAUACCAAUAUAAAAUUUUAACACGAAUAUUUUAUGGCAUAAUUAAGAAUUCAAUUUUAAUAUAAAUAUUCAAUAUGACUAAACAAUUCAAUAAUAUAAAUAAUAUAAAAUGUGAAAUUUAAUUUAACAAUAUAAAUAGUAGAUAUAAAUAAAAUUAUUACUAUUUAUGUUUAGUGAUUUUUUUUUGGAUAAUUUUGAAUUUUUAUUUGAGAGUAAAGGGUGAGAAGUAAAAGUUUAGGGAGAAAAUAAAAAGUUUUGGGGAAUAAAAGUUUGAGGGAAACUAAAUAGGGGGAGUUAAAUUUAGGAGGGAAAAUAUUAAAAAAAAUGGAGGGGGAGGGUUUGGGGUAGAUGAGAGGUGGGAUGGGAAGAGAAUAAAAGUUUUAGGGGAAAAGUGGGAGGGAGUAAAAAAAUUUGGGGGAAAAUAAAAGGUUUUGAGGGUUUUAGGGAGUAAAAUUUUGAGAAAAAGUAAAUGGAAGAGUAAAAUUUUGGUGAGAAAUGGAUUUUGGGUAGAUUGGGGGGUUGGGAGGGGAAGAGAGUAAAAGUUUUGGAGGGAAAGUGGGAAGGAGUAAAAGUUUUGAGGGAAAAGUAAAAAAGUUUGGAAGUUUAGGGUAAAAAUGUAAAAUAUUAUAGUUUGAUAUUCGAAUUAUUCGAAUUAUUCGAGUUAUUUGAAUUAUUCGAAUUAUUCGAGUUAUUCGAAUUCGAAAACUCAACUCGAUUCGAACUCGAAAUUCGAAAAAAAAAUUCGAGUUGAUUCGAAUAACUCGAUUCGUUUAACUCAAAAUUCGAAUUUUUUUUCAAUUUUUUCGAGUCGAAUCGAGUUUUGCUCACCCCUAGUCGAAACCACUUUUUUGAAACAAAAAAAUAGAGUCGACUUUUAUUUUAAAGAUAAAAAACGGGAGUCGCCACCGAUAUUUUUUGAGGUGUGAUCGGAUCACCUUGCAAUUCAAUUGUUUUGAUAAAAUAUUUUGAUUUUAUUAAAACAAUAACUUUGGUCUACGGAAUUCAAGAAAAACGGGUUCCGGAGUCAGUUACAUGCGAGGAAGGAUUAGCACCCUCAUCAUGCCUAAAAUUGGUACCUAAUCAAUUAAUUAAUCUCUUAAUAUCGAAAAAUUGAAAAUUCGGAAAGAAAUUUAAAAAUAUAAUCCUUUUAAAAUCACUUAAACUUUAAGGAAGGGUGCUCUUCUCGUUAAUCGAGAUAAGGAAUUAUAUCCCGUGAAUUAGGACACAAUAUCUUAAAUCCCGAAAUGAGAAUAAACACAAAAAAAAAAUAUUUUUAGAAAUUUUGAUCAUCUCGGUUUCAGAGAAGAAAUCAUAUCCCGUAAGCUGGAACACGGUCUUUUUCUGAUUCCCGAGAUAAUUUUUAAUUAAAUGUGUGUUUUUUUAAAAAAAGGUUCGUAUAUUUGAAAUUAUCGAAAAAUCAAUACCCCGUAAGUUAGGGUACGAUCUUUUCAAAAAUCCCAAAUACCGAGUGUUACACUACCUUGGAAGCUUUUGAAUAAAAACGAUUUCAAAACUAAAACCAUAUUAAACGUAACUUUUUGAGCAAAUAAAGCGCGAUGGAAAUGAUAAUGUACAAGGAGAAGUGAUAAUUCGUAAACCAAAAUAUACACUAGUGAACGACAAAUAAUCAAUAAAUACUAUAUGAAAUGAUAAUAUCAAAAUGAAUUUCAAAGUAAAUAUUGUAUAAAAAAUCAAAAUAUGUAAUAUACAAAAUAAUAUAUAUUAAUCUAAAUAAAUAAUACAUAUGGAAUGAAAAAUUUGAAAUAAAUAAAUAUAUAUACGAGUUUGAAAUAGAUAAAAAAUGAAGAUAAAAAUAAAUACUAUGUGAAAUGAUAAUAUCAAAAUGAAUUUUCAAAGUAAAUAUUGUAUAAAAAAAUCAAAAUAUGUAAUAUACAAAAUAAUAUAUAUUAAUCUAAAUAAAUAAUACAUAUGGAAUGAAAAAUUCCAAAUAGAUAAUAUUAUAUAUAUAUAUAAAGAUAUAUGUAAAAAAUUGAAAUAAGUAAAAUAUAAUAAAAUAGGAUUUUUUAAAAGAAAUAAAAAAUAUAUAUAUGGAAAUAGGUAAAAAAUAAUAAUAUGAAAUCAAUAAUAUAUUAUGUAUGUAUAUGUAUGUAUAUAAAAAUAGUUUAAUAUAAAUUGUAUACUUAUAAUAUUGAAUUUACAUAAAAAUAUAUAAAAUAAUGCAUGAAUUUGAAUAAUAAUACAUGAAAACUUAAAAUAUAUGAACAAAAACUUAAAAUAAUAAUGUACGAUAAAUUUAAACAAUAUUAAUAAUGGAUUUAAAAUAAUAUUAAGCUUAAAUAUUAAAAUAAGGUUAGAUUUAAAAAAUUAAAUAUAUAAAAAAUAAUGGAAUAAUAAAUACUUAAAUAAAUUAAAAAUGAGCAAAUUAAAUCAAGCUAAUAAGGAUUAAAAUGGAUUUAAAACAAAUUUAGAAAGAAAAAAACAAAAAUAAAAAUAAAAUAAAGGACCAAAGCAUGACGUGCGGAUAACAUGGGGGCCAAAUGGGAAAUAUUCCCUUUCCCUCAAAACGCAACAUCUUUGCACGGACCAUAUUGGAAUGAAACAUAAAAUGCGUGGCUAAAUUUAAAUGAAAUAAAAGGAUCGAUUUGAAAACAUUAUAAAAGCAUGGGGCUAUUAGCGCAAAUUCACCAUGCGGAAUAAAACACGCGGAUCUGGGACCAAUGGGUCAGGAAAUCAAGUUAAUGGCCGCUAAACGGCGUCGUUUUGACACUAGGAACCGUAUCUCAAAACGACACCGUACUGUAUUAUUAUUUAAACAAAAAUUUCUAUAAAAAAAAUAUUAGCAGCCUAUGUUUCAAAAAAAAAAAGAAUGGCUGCUUCUUUUUUCUCUGCCAGGGUUUUGAAACCCUCUCUCAGGCCACUGCGCCUCCGCCACAAUUCCACCAUGAACGAUGGUCGGAGCCGCACCACAAAAGGCUUUUUGGCUCUUUUUCUAGCGGAUCCGAAGGCAGGGCGUCGCGAAGCCAAUAGGUAAAUCUUCUUUUUUUCUAUUGCUUACUGUAUUGUUUUUUAAAAAUGAAUCGCAACAAAGAAGAAGAGAGGAAAAAACUGAAUAUCUACCUUGAAUCUUUUUUUUUUAAUUUUCUCUGCUUGUUAAUACGAACUGCUUCUUUUUUUGAUUUCUCCAUCCCUUUUACAGAUUUGCAAUCGACCUUAUAUAGUCGAAAUAAAGACAUAAAUAAUAAAAAAAGAAUACAAAAUAAUCCUAUUUUCUGUUAUUCUGUUACUUGUUCAUUUACUAUCAUUGUAGCUUCUUUUUUUGCUGUUAUUGUUUGUGCUUGUUGCAGGUUCGGCCAGCCUGGAGUGGAGGCGCACGUGUGGCUGGGACGAAAGGCUGGUGCAUGCGGAGGGCAGGAGCGGCGCCUGGAUUGUUCUAGGAACCCUAGGGGUUUCUGAAAACUAUUUUUUUGGGCUUCAAUGUAAUUGGGCUGGGUAUUGGGCUAUUUGGGUUAAUGGAUAUUUGGGCCGUGUAAAUGGACUUUUAUAUGGACUGCUACUUUAUUAUUUUUAUUGGUUUAUUUUAGUUUGGUUUUAAUGGGCCCGGGCAGAAUUUGGGUUUUACAACUACCCCUCUUUGCUCGUUGUCGUGUAACGAGAAUGGAGCAAAGACUUCAAAAAGACAAAUUUUGCCCGGUCUCGCCAAGUCUUGACCUCUCUUAGUGCUUCUCUUCUUCAAGUAGCCUAAUUCUAGCCCACUGUGUCUUGUUGCUUCGAUCCACUCUACUGUAACUUCAGAUACGACUCGUAGCUUCAAUCUGCUCUGCCGCAACUUUAAAGGGAACGAGAUUUGUGGUUUUAGUCUGUUCUACUGCAACUUCAGGGAAAUAAGACUUAUUAUGGUAGAUUUAAUCCAACCUAUUGCAACUUCAAAUGUAUAGGAUUUGUCGUUUUAAUCAACUCCACUACAAUUUCAGGGAGAUAGGAUUGGUGGCUUCAAUCUGCUUUACUACAACUUUAGGAAGAUAAGAUCCGCCAUAAUUUGUAGCUGCCUUCAGCUUUAAUCUGUUCCACUGCAAUGCGAGGGAAAUAAGAUUCGCUGUCUUUAGUCUGCUCCACUGCAACUUCAGGGAGAUAAGGCUGGUGGCUUCAAUCUGCUCCACUGCAACUUCAGGAAGAUAAGAUCCGCCAUAAUUUGUAGCUUUAAUCUGUUCUGCUGUAACGUCAGGGAAAUAAGAUUCGCUGCCUUCAGCUUUAAUCUAUUCCACUACAACGCCAGGGAAAUAAGAUUCGUUGCCUUCAGCUUUAAUCUACUCCACUGCAACGCCAGGGAAAUAAGAUUCGCUGCCUUUAGCUUUAAUCUGUUCCACUGCAACGCCAGAGAAAUAAAAUUCGCUGCCUUCAGCUUUAAUCUGCUCCACUGCAACGCCAGGGAAAUAAGAUUCGCUACCUUCAACUUUAAUCUAUUCCACUACAACGCCAGGGAAAUAAGAUUCGCUGCCUUCAGCUUUAAUCUGUUCCACUGCAACGCCAGGGAAAUAAGAUUCGCUGCCUUCAGUUUUAAUCUGUUCCACUGCAACUCUAGGGAAAUAAGAUUCGCUGCCUUCAGCUUUAAUAUGUUCCACUGCAACGCCAGGGAAAUAAGAUUCGAUAUAAUGACUUCAAUCCAUCCCCUUGCAACUUCAACGAUAUAGGAUUUGUGGUUUCACCGAUCUAUUCUCUAGGGAACAUGACCUGUAGAAUCCAUUUUAUGGGCCUAUUCAUGCCUAGUGAUUAGGAUGUUAUGAUUGGAAUGAAAUCAAAAUCUCCUAACUAGAUGUGUAUAAUGAAUGCAGAAUGUCAUGAAAAUGAUCUCUUAAUGUUUAAGUUGUGAUUGCUCGUUGUUUAUUAAGGCUCCAUCAGUGACGUGUUCUUGUUCGGCUGGUACCUUCGACAAAAGACCCAAAGAAACACACAAUCAGUUUGCCCCACUGUAACCUCAAGGUUCAACCGUACUUCUGGGUCACGAGUCUUGUGCUAUUGAGACCCAGGGUAUAAAAUCUGACACUUUUUCCAUCAUCUCCUACUGCAAUUCAAGAGCAUAGGGUGUGAAUCCUCUUCCAUCACUUUGGUCAUUUACACCACUAUUAGGGUGUCAUGAUCAGAUGUUUAUGCACAAAUGUAGAAUUCCCUUCUCCAAGAAUAACUUCUUUUUAUUGCUUGGCAAUCAUUGCUUGUUUGUUUAUUAAAGCUUUAUCACCGACACGAUGUCUUGUCGUUUUGUUCAAUCAAUAUUUUUGACAACAAAAUUCGAAGAGAUAGUCUUAAUUUAGACUUUUCCUUCUCAUAUAUUUCAAACCUUUAAACCUGAUGCGUUUUAAACAAUAGUUCUAUUUCAGGUUCUUGUAUUAUUUAGAAACUUCCAGAGUAAUAUUUAGCACUUUCUUUGUGAAAGUAUUGUUAGUCCAUUAAUCAUUAUUCCAAUGCAACAUGCUUGCAAAAGAUCAAAACACUGGAUAAGAAUAAAAUUGAUUUGGAGCAUAGCUCAGAAUGAAUAAAUUAUCAAGGAUGAUAUAAAAAGGGAAUUGAUUGAGAACACGUAUCUUGAAAAGAAUAAAGUAUUCCAAGAAUAGCAAAUCCAUACCCCUUGGUAGUAAUGUGCAGAGCUUUAGUGGAUCUCAUACCCCCUGGUGGUAUUUCGCCAUCAUUGAAGAAAAUGAAGUUAUCAGCACUUAUGUUAUUAACCAGCCGAUCUAGUUUAUUGACCGAAAUAUCAUUGGCCACUUAUGUCUCGUUUAGCACUUUCAUCAAUGCACUUCGGUGUACUUCCGAACUCAAAAGUAAAGCUAAUACAGAUAUGCGAGCUGGUUGUUUAUGCAACUGUUCCACAACACUAUACUCGUCGUGUUUCAAAAACAUUAGAAAUUCCUUGGCUUCCUCCUUUUUCACUGGCUCAUUAAUUAACGGCUUAGGUUCGACUACUUUUCCCUUCUUUUGUUUUACCGUUAGGGAUUUUCCUUUUAUAGGUUCUGUUCGGGCAUAUAACGGAUUGUAGUGUCUCCCAAUACGCGUAUAAGGACCUGCAUCUUGAUCUUUUUUUAAAGCACUGGCUAAACCCACUAUUCUCGGGAUUGUCACAUUACAAUUAUAAUUCCAGGGAACCCUCUUGCUAUCCUUAUAAGCAAAAAUUACAGGUUUCUGAAUUAUGAUCUUUGGUGUCACCUAUACUCUAGCUUCAUUAUUUUUAGGUCGCGAAAUGAUGAGCACAGGAUAAUUGACUUUUAGAACCUCGGUCGUUGAUUCUGACGUGUAUAUACUUCCCUCUUUUUUAACUUUUUCACAGAACUCCAUCUCUUUAUUGUCCAUCAUGCCUUGUUGGAUCCUAGCUAGUUGCUCUUGCAUCUGUGCCUACAGUUAGUCUUGCAUCUCCCUUUGGAAUUGUUCAAGUCUUUCCAAUCUUUGGUCCAUGUCUUUUGUUUUUGCUCGGGUACCGUAACAGUAUUUGGUUGGUAGGUUAUUGUUGGUUUCCAGAUUAACUGAAAUAAUUUUAAUCAAUUAGGCUAUUUUGGUAGACUUUAAUGCAUAUGAUGUAAUGUAAUGCAAAUGCAUGAAAUGAAUGCAAAAAGGUGUUGAUUCCGAUUCAAUUCCAUUUAGAAAAAUUUACUAGAAAACAAAUUUCUUUACAUAAAACGGAUACAUGCACGGCCUCGCCCUCAUACUCUAGGAGAAAACAUCGAUCAUUUUCUUCAUAUCUAUAUGCUAAGAUAAAAUAUCAUGAACUCUUCCAAGGGAUGCCUCCUUUUUACUUGAUCUGAGUUACCACUCAUCGUUCACCCAUCUUUGUGAUGCUUGUUAGCUUCUUUAAGAAAGUUGGAAUGUUGGCGGCUCUUGAAUAAUCUUUAUCAGCUUGACUCCUCGAGCAACAAAGUAGAGUCGUGCACUCAUUCAUAAGAUUAUCAUCAUUCCUUUGUUACAUUUUCUCGGACCAUAUUCGGACGACCGCAUUAUCUUCUAUUUUAUCAAGAAAUUCAUUCUCUAUGACAAGCUCUCUAUUUAGUAAUCGAAUGCGAAUUAACACCUUUUUUAUGCAUAUGAUGAGCAUGUCAAGCAAACACAAUAAAAAACAAAGCAAGUUAGUACAUUUAUGACCAAAAUCAAGAAAUCACAAAUAAGGUAUCUACUCGGUCAACCACUAAAGGUG